rnacentral:rRNA from 1 species
UACGAAGGGGGCUAGCGUUGCUCGGAAUCACUGGGCGUAAAGGGUGCGUAGGCGGGUCUUUAAGUCAGGGGUGAAAUCCCUGGAGCUCAACUCCAGAACUGCCUUUGAUACUGAGGAUCUUGAGUUUCGGGAGAGGUGAGUGGAACUGCGAGUGUAGAGGUGAAAUCGUAGAUAUUCGCAAGGAACACCAGUGGCGAAGGCGGCUCACUGGCCCGAUACUGACGCUGAGGCACG